CACGUAGGUUGCAAGCGUUGUCCGGAAUCAUUGGGCGUAAAGAGCUCGUAGGCGGCUUAGUAAGUCGGGUGUGAAAACCCCAGGCUCAACCUGGGGACGCCACCCGAUACUGCUAUAGCUAGAGUCCAGUAGGGGAGUGUGGAAUUCCCAGUGUAGCGGUGAAAUGCGCAGAUAUUGGGAGGAACACCAGCGGCGAAGGCGGCACUCUGGGCUGGUACUGACGCUGAGGAGCGAAAGCGUGGGUAGCGAACAGG
rnacentral:rRNA from 1 species